ensembl:misc_RNA Metazoa_SRP Metazoan signal recognition particle RNA
UCUCGAGUAGCUGGGACUACUCGGGAGGCUGAGGUGGGAGGAUCGCUUGAGUCCAGGAGUUCUGGGCUGCAGUGCGCUAUGCCGAUCGGGUGUCCGCACUAAGUUCGGCAUCAAUAUGGUGACCUCCCGGGAGCGGGGGACCACCAGGUUGCCUAAGGAGGGGUGAACCGGCCCAGGUCGGAAACGGAGCAGGUCAAAACUCCCGUGCUGAUCAGUAGUGGGAUCGCGCCUGUGAAUAGCCACUGCACUCCAGCCUGGGCAAUAUAGUGAGACCCUGUCUCU